rnacentral:lncRNA from 1 species
GACGAGUUGUGGUCCUGAAGAGCUGUGGAGAAUGGAAACAAACAAAAAAAGAAUAGAUGGAAACCGAGGAGAAGCAAAGAGAUCGAAGAAGGAGAUAACGAAAUUUUAAAAUCCCUAUCACAUGUGAUACACCGUUGAUGGUGUACCGAAGCUUCUCCGGAAUAUUGGCCAGAGAAGAUAUGUUCUAAUUCAGUAAUCACUAAUUCGUUGUGUCCAUGAUGUGUCUGUGGCAUCGCUCUACCUUACCCAUCUGUUUUCGAAUUUUCCAGAUCGAAUAGAUAUACAACCUCAAAAUAACUGUGAAUCUUAACAUCCAAUUAAGGCAGGUAAAGUGGGUAAUAAGACCAUGAAUCAUGCACUCUUUGUAAAAUGGGUUCUUCCAUAUAUCAU